GAUGAACGCUGGCGGCGUGCCUAAUACAUGCAAGUCGAGCGAAUGGAUUAAGAGCUUGCUCUUAUGAAGUUAGCGGCGGACGGGUGAGUAACACGUGGGUAACCUGCCCAUAAGACUGGGAUAACUCCGGGAAACCGGGGCUAAUACCGGAUAACAUUUUGAACCGCAUGGUUCGAAGUUGAAAGGCGGCUUCGGCUGUCACUUAUGGAUGGACCCGCGUCGCAUUAGCUAGUUGGUGAGGUAACGGCUCACCAAGGCAACGAUGCGUAGCCGACCCGAGAGGGUGAUCGGCCACACUGGGACUGAGACACGGCCCAGACUCCUACGGGAGGCAGCAGUAGGGAAUCUUCCGCAAUGGACGAAAGUCUGACGGAGCAACGCCGCGUGAGUGAUGAAGGCUUUCGGGUCGUAAAACUCUGUUGUUAGGGAAGAACAAGUGUUAGUUGAAUAAGCUGGCACCCUGACGGUACCUAACCAGAAAGCCACGGCUAACUACGUGCCAGCCGCCGCCGUAA
rnacentral:rRNA from 1 species